GAGUUUGAUCGUGGCUCAGGAUAAACGCUGGCGGCGUGCUUCAGGCAUGCAAGUCGAACGGGUGUCAGCCUUCGGGUUGGCACUAGUGGCGGACGGGUGAGUAACACGUAAGCAAUCUGCCCGGUAGUGGGGAAUAACUAGCCGAAAGGCUGGCUAAUACCGCAUGUGAUGGCUGGUCUUUGGAUGAGUCAUGAAAGGCGUAAGUCGCUACCGGAGGAGCUUGCGGCCGAUUAGCUAGUUGGUGAGGUAAUGGCCCACCAAGGCAACGAUCGGUAGCUGGUCUGAGAGGACGGUCAGCCACACGGGGACUGAGAUACGGCCCCGACUCCUACGGGAGGCAGCAGCUAGGAAUCUUGGGAAUGGGCGAAAGCCUGACCCAGCAACGCCGCGUGGGCGAUGAAGGCCUUCGGGUCGUAAAGCCCUUUUGCAGGGAAGAUGAUGACGGUACCUUGCGAAUAAGCCACGGCUAACUACGUGCCAGCCGCCGCGGU
rnacentral:rRNA from 1 species